rnacentral:rRNA from 1 species
AGAGUUUGAUCCUGGCUCAGAAUGAACGUUGGCGGUGCGCCUAACACAUGCAAGUCGAGCGGAAGUAAUUCAGCGGCAGACGGGUGAGUAACGCGUGGGAAUCUGCCCUUUAGUGAGGAAUACCUUCGAGAAAUCGGAGUUAAUACUGCAUACGUCCCUUCGAAAGAAGGGAGAAAGAUGGCCUCUUUGCUGUCGCUAAA